rnacentral:rRNA from 1 species
AUUGAACGCUGGCGGCAGGCCUAACACAUGCGAGUCGAGCGGUUGAAGGGAGCUUGCUCCUGGAACCAGCGGCGGACGGGUGAGUACAGCACAGGAAUCUGCCUGGUAGUGGGGGAUAACGUCCGGAAACGGGCGCUAAUACCGCAUACGUUCUGCGGGAGCAAGUGGGGGAUCUUCGGACCUCACGCUAUCAUCUGGGCCUAGUUCGGAUUGGCUAGUUGGUGGGGUAAAGGCCUAACAAGGAGGCGGUCCGUAACCAGUCUGAGAGGAAGAUCGGUCACACUGGAACUGAGACACGGUCCAGACUCCUACGGGAGGCAGCAGAGGCGAAUAUGGGACAAUAGGCGGAAGCCUGAUACAGCCAGCCCGAGUGUGAGAAAAAGAUCUUCGGAUGGUAAAGCACGUUUUGUUGGUAUGAAGGGCAUUAAGUUAAUACCUAGCUGUUUUGACGUUACCAACAGAAUAAGCACCGGCUAACUUCGUG